UACGGAGGGGGCUAGCGUUGUUCGGAAUUACUGGGCGUAAAGCGUGCGUAGGUGGUUUUUUAAGUCAGGUGUGAAAUCCCUGGGCUCAACCUGGGAACUGCAUUUGAUACUGGAAAGCUAGAGUGUGGUAGAGGAUGGUGGAAUUCCCGGUGUAGCGGUGAAAUGCGUAGAUAUCGGGAGGAACAUCAGUGGCGAAAGCGCCACACUGGGUCUCAACUGACGCUGAGGCACGAAAGCCAGGGGAGCAAACGGG
rnacentral:rRNA from 1 species